rnacentral:rRNA from 1 species
CAUGGUUGUCGUCAGCUCGUGUCGUGAGGAUGUUGGGUUAAGUCCCGCAACGAGCGCAACCCCUGUGUUAGUUGCCAUCAUUCAGUUGGGCACUCUAGCGAGACUGCCGGUAAUAAACCGGAGGAAGGUGGGGAUGACGUCAAAUCAUCAUGCCCCUUAUGACCUGGGCUACACACGUGCUACAAUGGUUGGUACAACGAGUUGCGAGUCGGUGACGGCGAGCUAAUCUCUUAAAGCCAAUCUCAGUUCGGAUUGUAGGCUGCAACUCGCCUACAUGAAGUCGGAAUCGCUAGUAAUCGCGGAUCAGCACGCCCGCGGUCCGAAUACGUUCCGGGCCUU